ensembl:lncRNA
CAAGGACGAGCUCUGUCUCCACUUCUGCAAAUAGCGACAAGUCUGAAAGUAUACCUUCUGUGAGAAGGAGACUAGUGUGGGGGAUUAGACAGCAUCAGAACUUUCCGGAACGAUAUCUAAAAUUUGGAGUUUUGAGCUCAGACUUUGAGGGAAGCACAAAUCCACGGCUGCUCGCUAGAGGAUAAGCCCCCCUGCGCUCAAACUUAAUGAGCACGAGUAAGCCCAUUCCUGCAGCUCCACGCAAGAGAAACGAUCAUGAAGUGUGCUGAAGAAUGACAGAGACAAAGCGAGAGAGACUGGAAGAAAGGACAAGCCAGAGAGUGCAAAAGCGAGAGAGGUUGUCUGCCAAAGGGAGACUCUUUAAUUCGGUCUCUGUUGAGGAGUGGGUCGAGUGGAACGCUGGCCUGUCUGUCACUGCGAGGCUCCAGUGACCGUCUGACAGAUCACAGCACAGCGCCGCAUCAGGGGGGCCAGUAAAUUGGCCCGGGGGGCCUCCCUAGUCUCCUUUCUCCAGCUGAAUCUGCAGAGGCGAGGCUGAUGGGUAGUGUGGUACACAGGAGGCUAUUUAUGAGACAUAUUUGUCCAUGGCAGCAUUUUCAGCAAAAGCGGUUUACAUGUGUUCGGGGUUGUCGGGGGGAGCGAGGCACCCUGGAAGGAAUACAGGAUGGGCUGAGUAGGUGGAGUAGGUGGGCACAAGGGGUGGGAGUACAUUAGUCCGUGAGGCCACAGCUCAGCGGGAGACCAGUCCAGACAUCAGUGGAGUAAAGUCAUCACAUCACAGUGUUUUGUGUCCCCAGUGGGGCCUCUGUCACUAGAAAAGCCCUGUUAUUUUGUUGUAUGACGUCCCCUUAAGCGAGAUUUCACAGACUGUCCCUGAGUAUCGACAACAGACCUCUGUCUAGCCCGGAUGCUAUCCCGCAGAUUUUCAGCUGCUGGUUGGUCGCAGCCAAUUCAGCAUGUAUCUGCUUGCGGCCACAACAGGAUUCCAGUAACACCACAUCUCAGAUCAAUAGAGACAUCCAUAAGACACAAGCUGACAAUAACAUGACUGGUAGCAGCACUGUUCAGCAUGGUGGGGGGAAAAAACAACAACAGCAACUGGAUGAACAUAAAUAAAACAGAGGCUCCCUUCUGCAUAGACUGAUUUGUAAUUAUGUCGAAAACAAA